rnacentral:rRNA from 1 species
GAUGAACGCUAGCGACAGGCUUAACACAUGCAAGUCGAGGGGCAGCACAGGGUAGCAAUACUUGGGUGGCGACCGGCGCACGGGUGAGUAACGCGUAUGCAACUUACCUAUCAGAGGGGGAUAGCCCGGCGAAAGUCGGAUUAAUACCCCAUGAAACAGGGGUCCNCAUGGGGAAUAUUUGUUAAAAGAUUCAUCGCUGACAGAUAGGCAUGCGUUCCAUUAGGCAGUUUGGCGGGGGUAACGGCCCACCAAAACCGACGAUGGAUAGGGGGUUCUGAGAGGAAGGUCCCCCCACAUUGGGUACUGAGACACGGGACCAAAACUCCUACGGGGAGGCAGCAGUGAGGAAUAUUGGGUCAAAUGGCCCGAGAGGCUGAACCAGCCAAAGUCGCGUGAAGGAAGAAGGAUCUAUGGUUUGUAAAACUUCUUUUUAUAGGGGGAAUAAAAGUGGAGGACGUGCCUUUUUUUGUAUGUACCCUAUGAAUAAGCAUCGGCUAAACUCCGUG